AUUGAACGCUGGCGGCAGGCCUAACACAUGCAAGUCGAGCGAGCGGCGGACGGGUGAGUAAUGUCUGGGAAACUGCCUGAUGGAGGGGGAUAACUACUGGAAACGGUAGCUAAUAACGCAUACCAUCAGAUGUGCCCAUAUGGGAUUAGCUAGUAGGGGGGGGAACGGCUCACCUGUGCGACGAGCCCUAGCUGGUCUGAGAGGAUUACCAGCCACACGGGAACUGAGACACGGUCCAGACUCCUACGGGAGGCAGCAGUGGGUAAUAUUGCACAAUGGGCGCAAGCCUGAUGCAGCCAUGCCGCGUGUGUGAAGAAGGCCUUCGGGUUGUAAAGCACUUUCAGCGGGGAGGCGUUACCCGCAGAAGAAGCACCGGCUAACUCCGUUCCAGCCGCCGCGGUAAUAC
rnacentral:rRNA from 1 species